UACGAGGGGGGGCAAGCGUUGUUCGGAAUUAUUGGGCGUAAAGAGCUCGUAGGCGGUCUGUCGCGUCGGAUGUGAAAAUCCAGGGCUCAACCCUGGACCUGCAUUCGAUACGGGCAGACUAGAGUUCGGCAGGGGAGACUGGAAUUCCUGGUGUAGCGGUGAAAUGCGCAGAUAUCAGGAGGAACACCGGUGGCGAAGGCGGGUCUCUGGGCCGAUACUGACGCUGAGGAGCGAAAGCGUGGGGAGCAAACAGG
rnacentral:rRNA from 1 species